AGUUGGCUAGAAGAAAAAUAUUAGGAAUAGAAAGCAAUGCAGAACCUUUGUCAAGUAACUAGCUCAUGAUCAUUUGCCAAUGUGCGCUCCACAAACAUCCACCAAUGAUAGGCUCUAUCCUGAAGCAUUUAUAUCGAUGGCAAAUUUGAUCUUUUCCUCAUCAGUACAUACCAUCACCCUAAAAGCUUUCUCCAUCUUGUUUAUCCAGGCCUUGGCCUCAUGGGGAUUUGUAGUACCUUUUAAUGCUAGAGG
rnacentral:lncRNA from 1 species